CGAGGUAACAGGAAGUAUCCGCUCCGCGCCUGCACUGAAAUCCGAGGCCACGCCCGCGUUGAGCUGCCGAAGCGACCUGCCCACAACAACAACAAGCUGUCGCUUCCUCUGUCACUUCCUCUGCAGAAUUUGUCUGAUGGAGCAAAGGCACUUGGUGCAGCUUGGUAUCACAAGGCAACAAUGCGACCGGUGUGCAUACAGCACGGAUCGUCCUGAACAUUUGACACAGCACCAGAGAACUCACUCAGGAGAGAAACCCUUCAAGUGCAGUGUGUGUGGGAGGGCGUUUGCACAAUCA